UGGUAGCUCAGUCGGUAGAGCAGAGGACUGAAAAUCCUCGUGUCGGUGGUUCGAUUCCGCCCC
rnacentral:tRNA from 1 species